rnacentral:rRNA from 1 species
AUACGUAGGGUGCGAGCGUUGUCCGGAAUUACUGGGCGUAAAGAGCUCGUAGGUGGUUUGUCGCGUCGUCUGUGAAAUUCCGGGGCUUAACUCCGGGCGUGCAGGCGAUACGGGCAUAACUUGAGUACUGUAGGGGAGACUGGAAUUCCUGGUGUAGCGGUGAAAUGCGCAGAUAUCAGGAGGAACACCGGUGGCGAAGGCGGGUCUCUGGGCAGUAACUGGCGCUGAGGAGCGAAAGCAUGGGUAGCGAACAGGAUUGGAUACCCCGGUAGUCCAUGCCGUAAACGGUGGGCGCUAGGUGUAGGGGUCUUCCACGACUUCUGUGCCGUAGCUAACGCAUUAAGCGCCCCGCCUGGGGAGUACGGCCGCAAGGCUAAAACUCAAAGGAAUUGACGGGG